rnacentral:rRNA from 1 species
UACAGAGGGGGCAAGCGUUAUUCGGAAUUAUUGGGCGUAAAGGGCGCGUAGGCGGCUUGGCAAGUGGAUGGUGAAAUCCCUCGGCUUAACCGAGGAACUGCCGUCCAAACUGCUUAGCUUGAGACCGGGAGAGGUGAGUGGAAUUCCCAGUGUAGCGGUGAAAUGCGUAGAUAUUGGGAGGAACACCAGUGGCGAAGGCGGCUCACUGGACCGGUACUGACGCUGAGGCGCGAAAGCGUUGGGGAGCAAACGGG